rnacentral:lncRNA from 1 species
CCAGUAGACUCACACAAGACAAAUGAGAACUCUUCAAAUUUCAUCAUCCAAAAUCAAAUGUGAAGCCUUUAACUGAGGCUGAGCAUCAUUUUCAUAUGUCUUGUUCUCUAGGGAAAAUCUUUGUAUUUCCAUCACUAGUGUGAACUUUCCCUUUAUAGUCUCAGAUUCACAACUACAAGGAAGAAACUAUUUCUGAUCAGAAAUUCUGGGAUAAUUCCAACAGAUAAAACAUUUUAGAAAGGUACUAAAAAUGCAGCAUUUAACCUGCAGCGUGACCAGAAAGUCUUUCCAGACCUGAAAAAUAAUUGGCUGUAAAGGAUUUUUCUCAUCAGUUCAUGGCUGCACUUUUGAUUCAUUGUGUUGCACAGUCUGAUAUCACAGCAGAUCAGGUCCUGGACUGAUGCAGAAAUAGCUUCCAAAGAUCCCAGAGGAACAGUAAAAUAUUAACUCAAAGCAUGUGAGUAACUGAGUUAUGUAACCAGAGCCUGUGACAGAAUGGCUGUCAUAGCUGCCUUAACAUAGUUCAAACUUCUAUUACUGUUUUAUUAACUUGUGCUUAUCUAACAGAAGAAAGUGCUGCCUCCUUAUACAUCUUGCUGUACAACAAGUUAGUAGCAGCACCUCCUGAUUUCAGAAUUUACAAACUAAGGAGCUAAACAGAAAUAGGGUAAAAGAACUUACAAAAGAGCAUUCCCACUUUAUACAGGGGGUAACCAAGGCUGAAUUCAAAAUGGACCAGAAAGCAGCUCUGUAUUGAGCCAGGUGAUUUAACAUGCUUAUUUUUUUCCCCAACACAUUUCAAUAAAAUGUUUCACUACAGUCAAAUAUUUUCAUAUAUUGAUAUCAAUUCUCUUUAGAAAAGUACCACUAACAAAAUUGUAGAAGGAAAACUACAAUUUAGAUAAUUGCAUUUCUAAAAAUAAUUUUCAUAUGUGCUUUACAAAGCAUACAGCGCUUAAUGGCUCAUAUAUUUUACUUUUUCUGCCCCCAGAAAUGGCAAUCCAGUGGUUCCUAUAGAGCAGGAAAAUAGGCCACCAGCUGAAACAGAGAAAGCCAAUAUUUCUUUGUCAAAUGAAAACCUGAACUCCCAGGAACAGCAUCUGCUGCAUGAACAUGGUAAGGAACUUUGCAUUUUUCAAUUAGGAUUAGUAAAAUUGUGUUCUUUGAAAGAAAAGUAAGUUUAUAGGUGAUAAUAGCAUCACCUGGGAAAGAUUACUCUUUAUAAAAAAUCCAGCCUCCCUCAGAGUUUCAGAGAACAUUUAUACAUUACU